CUUUUGUAAAUUUUAAAAAGUGACGUUGAGUCUUGUAAAGGGGCAUUUUUCUGGAUCAGACCGGUAUUCAGCAAAUCACAUUUUGGGUAUACAAUGACGGAUUUAAUCGGGAAAAAUACCCAAUUGUGAUGUUUAUGUGACAUAUAGAAGUGCCAAGAAAGAAGCUCGUCAAAGCAGGCAGUGGAACUUGGGCAUGCAUUUCAUCCGGACGUGAAAAUACUGCCCCCUGUCACCAAGAAGUUAACAUGGGAAUCCUGGGAGUGCCAUGGGGUGAAGAUCAUCAAAGCCAAACUUGAUGAACAAAACGGAGCGAUUUCUCCUACACAAAUAAUCUUUUUGGAAAAACUGAACAUUUGCUAUCUAACUGAGAGUCUCCUCAUUGAAAACAUCCGAAGUUCUUCAAAGUUCUCAGUUGUUUUGAAAGCACCAUAAAUCCAGAGAAUGCAAGGCUUUGAUGACAUUUACCCAUGAAGGACUGCCGUGCCACCUUCCUGUUCAAGUGAGCACAGCACAACAAGGUUGAUUGAUUCUGCCUGGGAGGUUUCCAGUGGCGGUCUGCGAGGGAAACCGGUAAAGC
ensembl:lncRNA